rnacentral:rRNA from 1 species
CGUACACUCCUGCGGGAGGCAGCAGUGGGGAAUUUUACGCAAUGGGGGAAACCCUGACGUAGCGACACCGCGUGAGCGAAGAAGCCCUUUGGGGUGUAAAGCUCUGUCAGCUGGAACGAAAACAAUGACGGUACCAGCAGAGGAAGCAUCGGCUAACUACGUGCCAGCAGCCGCGGUAAGACGUAGGAUGCGAGCGUUGUCCGGAUUUAUUGGGCGUAAAGAGUUCGUAGGUGGUUUGUUAAGUUUGGUGUUAAAGAUCGGGGCUCAACCCUGGGACUGCACUGAAUACUGGCAGACUCGAGUGUGGUAGAGGCUAGUGGAAUUCCCAGUGUAGCGGUGAAAUGCGUAGAUAUUGGGAAGAACACCGGUGGCGUAGGCGACUAGCUGGGCCAUAACUGACGCUGAGGAACGAAAGCCAGGGGAGCGAAUGGGAUUAGAAACCCCUGUAGUCCCA